UACGGGGGGAGCAAGCGUUGUUCGGAUUUACUGGGCGUAAAGGGCGCGUAGGCGGUCAGCACAAGUCAGUUGUGAAAUCUCCGGGCUUAACUCGGAAAGGUCAACUGAUACUGUGCGACUAGAGUGCAGAAGGGGCAACUGGAAUUCCGCGUGUAGCAGUGAAAUGCGUAGAUAUGCGGAGGAACACCGAUGGCGAAGGCAAUCCCCUGGGCCUGCACUGACGCUCAUGCACGAAAGCGUGGGAG
rnacentral:rRNA from 1 species